AAACAUAGCCUUUAGCCAACCAAGUAUUAAAGGUAACGCCUGCCCAGUGAAACUUAAACGGGCCGCGGUAUCCUAACCGUGCAAAGGUAGCGUAAUCACUUGUCUUAUAAAUAAAGACCCGUAUGAAUGGCUAAAUGAGUAUUUAACUGUCUCCUUUAACUGGUCAGUGAAACUGAUCUUUCAGUACAAAAGCUGGAAUAAAAACAUAAGACGAGAAGACCCUGKGGAGCUUUAAAUUUAAGCCAAGUGCCCGCAUAGUUUGCACGCAUGGUAAAAGUUUUAAGUUGGGGCAACUUUGGAGUAAAACAAAACCUCCAAGAAUAAGGCGCUGCCUUAAACCUUGGCCCACAGGCCUAACAUUUAGACCCAGUACCACUGAUCAACGAACCAAGUUACCCCAGGGAUAACAGCGCUAUCUUUCUUCAAGAGUUCAUAUCGACAAGAAGGUUUACGACCUCGAUGUUGGAUCAGGACACCCAAAUGGUGCAGCCGCUAUUAAAGGUUCGUUUGUUCAACGAUUAACAGUCCUACGUGAU
rnacentral:rRNA from 1 species